CUGGGGUGAGAGGGCCGCCUGCACCCCCAGCUCCCCUCCGUAUCUGGAGGGUCUCUGCGUCUGGAGGGCUACUUACUAUGACUGUGAUUUGUGGUUCCUCCCAUCUUAAGAUGAAUGCAAGUCUGAAUGCAAAACUGUAAGUCGUUCUCGAUAAAAGCGUCUGCCAAAUGACUCAAAUGUAAUGUUAAGCAUAGCACAAAUGUUCAACCAACCUUUACUUGGUGAUACUUUCUCAAAAACCGACUUGGAAGACAACAUGUCUUCUAAACUUCCAAGUCUAGUUGCAGGGGGUUCAUUUGAAUGUAGAAAAUGCUCCGUUAUUACAUUUAAGAAAUGUUUUGCUCCAUGAAGUAAUCCAACAAUGUGUACUUAUUUGAUGAAGUUUAACAGUGGUUGACAUCCAAUAAAUGUUGCAUUUACCGCCACCUACUAGACUGGAGUUCAAUAACUCCCUUAUACUUUGCUUGAAAGAAUGAAUAAACAAAUACCCUACCAAUACCCUAAAACUAAACUCACUAAAACAUAUCUAUAUUUUUAAAACACCACCCUACUCCACUAUUUAAAUCUAUUUAGUCCUACUUCAGGCAAACAGCCUGAAAGGAUGGGACACCACCACUUAACACACCCUGUAACUCUUCUGACGUCAAGUCUCGUACACCCAAAUGCCUCUCUGCAGCUGCCACAACAACCUCAAUUAUCUGUGACGUACGUUCCGUCCCUGCAGUACAGUUGAUAACCAUUGCUAUAAAUGCAAAAAAAUCCAAUCUUACUGAAACAUAUCACUUGUUGGACUAUGUACUGUACAGGUACAGAUAUACUACUCACACCACUCCUCUCAGGAUCCCUCCCCCUUGACUCAUCUUCCUCUACUUCCUUCACUGCCUCAGCAUAUGAAAACUUCUGCACUACUCUAACCCUGGAAACCUCAACCUGCCUCUCUCGCACAGGACAUGUUUGAUCCCCAGCCCCAUGGGCACCCCUACAAUUAACACAUACUGUAUCACUACUUUUCCCAAUGCUACACGUUCCUUUGUCUCAUGCCCUUCGGCACACUUCUCACACCUUUGAACUGCCCUUCUACACACUGCUGCCACAUGCCCAUAAGCUCGACACCUGUAACAUCGUAAUGUAUUCGGCACAAAAGCUCGUACAGGAUAACUUAUGUAUCCUAACGUCAAUUUGUCAGGCAAAGACUCAACAACAGACAACGUCUCUUCUGUUUCACCACUCACACCACCCAGUCUGCGUCACACCAAACGACAAGCAUCACAAAUACCGGGAAUCUUCCCCUUCAGUUGGUAAACUUUCACAUUUACUGCACCCCAGUAAUCACUCCUUUCAAUGGCAGCCUUUUCUUGAGAGCAAAACAAUUUCUUGCCGCCAUUCGUUUAACGCGGAGCGAACUGCUCCCUCUGACCAGCAGAAACACAAUUAUCACAAGACCACUUUUGGUUACCCUCACCGAUUCCACAGCACCCAACUCUGAUUUCACCCACCCUGAAACCAACAUGGAUCAGCCAAAAGGCAAGGGUCCACUUUUUCCACUCCCACUGUCAAAGAUUCUUCUUUAUCCUGACACUCGGUGCAAGCCUCGGGCUCCGAGAACUUCACCACACCUACCACCUCUGAUACUAAGCCCUCAUUCACUUCCAUUUCUCGUCCUGUCUCAAUCUCACUCUGCUAACACUUUCUACCAUUUUUCUUUUAACAAACCAUCACUCUUUUUUUCCACCAUUUUUAACUGACUGGAGCUCACCAUCUUCAUCACUCUCUCUCACUCUCCUCUGCCUCCAUUCCUCCUCCAUAUUCCAAGUAUACGUCUCAUGAUAAUACUGCACAUCUCCUGACCUACAUCUUGCUCAUUUAACCGGCUGCCACAAUCUACCUACAAUCAGCACGAACCCCUCGGGAUGUGGAGUUCAACAGUGCAUCACACUUAUAAAGCCACUGCUUCGUCUUGAUAUUCUUCUUUAUCAAUAUCUACCGCAACGCUUUUCCAUUUCAAACACGUUCACUCAUCCAACCACCAUCCACUGUCUCACUUCCUUUUCCGUCCGCCUUCCCAAUCCCCUGAAUACUACUCCUGCAAACGCUGGACAAGAAGGAUCCCAACAAUGUGUACGCCACCAUUUUGUCUAUUUCAACUCUUCUCAUUGUUCAAGGCAGGUGAGUGUCAUCAUGACAUGCAGCACGUUGGGGUGGACACACACCUAUCUCAAUCAGUGAGGGGGUUUGAUUAAUCUCGCCCGGCUGCCCAUGUUAGCGUGUUUUGCAAUGACUGCAUUCUAUUUGAGCGUGAGCCAGGUGCCCUGCUCUGUCUGAAGGUGAAGUCAGCUCAAAACAAAAGUGAGUAGACUAAUUAAGCACUUGUAGAAAUAAGUAGGAUUCUGUGUUUUUCCAUGCAGAAGUGGUUGCUUUAGAUAAACGCUUUAUCUGCCUUUCAAAUGAAAACUAGUUAGAAAAUGUGAAAAUAUAUUUGAUGGAAAAGAGAUGUUUCUAGACGAUGCACCAUGCUGCCUUAAUGACAAAAUGACCAAGCAGCACAGAUGAAUGUUUGUUUAAGAAGGGUGCUCCUCUAGGGUCGCCAACUGUCCCUUAAUAGCCGGGAUGUCCCUGAUAUUGGGAUAAAUUGAGUUGACCCAUAGGGGACCUCCCUUGUCCCGUAUAUUCAUCCAAUCACAGUAUAGCAUGAACGCGCCAAUUCCUGCAAAGUAAUUUCUGUUAUUGUUCAGUCGGUUUGGCAUAUCAAGGAAAUAUGGAUAAACCUGCAAAAAAAGACUGUGCAGCUACAGCAAACAAUGUGAAGCAAAAAAUACAUGGGUUAAACCCGUCAGUGACUCAACGAAUGCUUUCUGUACUUUAUGCGUCGGGAAUUCUCAAUUGGCCAUGGAGGGGAGAUUGACCGAACUCAGCAUGCAUCCACAGAAAUGCACAAGGCCACGCUAGCUAAAGGUGCUAGCAAUAUCGGUGCAUUCUUCGUGACGCUACUGUGGAAAUUGGAAAACACCUCUCGGUUUACCAGUUAUUGAGCAGUGCCAACAAUCGCAUUCUGAAAGUUAAUUGCCCAGCUCACAUAGCUCAUAAUGCCUGCAAGCACGCCUGCGAUCAGCUGUCAGUGGAUAUUGAGACAAUCUUGCUUGUUUGUAGGUGACCAAAUACUUAUUUUCCACCAUAAUUUGCAAAUAAAUUCAUGAAAAAUCCUACAAUGUGAUUUUCUGGAUUUUUUCCUCAUUUUGUCUGUCAUAGUUGAAGUGUACCUAUGAUGAAAAUUACAGGCCUCUCUCAUCUUUUUAAGUGGGAGAACUUGCACAAUUGGUGGCUGACUAAAUACUUUUUUGCCCCACUGUACAUGUAUUUCCGCAACAGAAUUAAAAAGUGAUUUUGGACUGACCAAUGUAGAUAGUUUCAAAUACAUGAAACUUAAAAGUUACAUAUCACAUAAUUUUGAUUUGAAUUAUUUUGGACAUCAGAGCAACCUUGAGGGAAUCUUAUCUGAGUCAAAAAGGAUGUUCAUAUGAUAGGGAAGAUAUACAAAACCAUGCAGAGAGUAUUUCAAACUGACAGUCUCUUAGGAAAAAAUAUAAACUAUUGAAACCAAGAUUUACAAAUAAUUGAUGUUGGCACAAGAUGAAGGGAAAGUUAGAGCAAAACUAACGAUAUUACAGUUAACACAAUGUACUUCAUCCAGUAUAAACUAAUGUAUAGAAUGUAUUAUACAAGAGACACAAUUUUACAAAUUAUAUAGCACAACAGGCAGGCAUGUUUCAUGUGUAAAACUCAAAAUGACUCAAUAAUCCAUGCUUUCUGGGAAUGCUAUAAAGUCUGGAAGUUGUGGGCAGAGCUAUAAAGUUUGUUGUCAGCAGUAUUACAAUGUAAACUUACUUUUAAUCCAUCUGUCUGCAUAUUUCAAGACAUGGAAUAUGGUGGUGUAGUGAGAUACCCGGUGGGUUGGACGAUUCUCUUCUCAUCACUGAUCUUGAAAAAAUGUAUACUAAAAACUUGGAUAUCAAUCAAUCUGCCAUCAUUGACACAAUGGAAAAAUCAAAUGAUUUAUUAUUGAAAUAUUGAAAUGGCAUGGGCGACUGAGAAAAACAAAUUGGUACAAUUUAAGGCCAAGUGGCAAACAAAAAUGCAGACACUAGGGAUGGGAGUGCAAGCAUACGGGUCUGAGCAGAUGAGUGUUUUUGGAGUGAAAAGAAAGUGUGGGGGAUAAUUUGAAAAGGCAGUUAAGAGUUAUAACAUUAGAAUGAGUGUUGAAGGGGAGCAUGGAUAGGCUAAAUGUAUUGUCAAAUACAAAAACACAAACAUACAAGGAUCCCUGACGAAUCAAGAAAAACUUCACAUCCAUAUUGGGGGGAGGUCUCUCUAUCUACCUCGCUCCCUCUGUCUCUCUCUCUCUCUCUAUCUGUCUCUCUGUGUCCCAGUUGUCAGACAGUGGGGAGAACCAUGUGGCCAGGACUCACGGGGGCUAUGCAGCAGUGUCUGUUCUCUCAGAAGGAGGUGCCUGGGAUACUGGGUGUUAUCGUUAGUAUCCCUGUCUCAUUAUGGACACUGACCCUAACAAACAAACCUAUAUAAAGCUUCAAUCUGCUAAAUUGUUUUCAAAUAAAGUAAAAGGGAAUAAAGUUAAAUAAUGCAAGCCUCAAUAGAACUAAUGUGACUUCUUCUCCCUCUAGUUCCUUCCUCUACCAGCCAAUCCUCAGGUAAAUGUACCAAUCAAAGUUCUGAAACAACUUGGAAUGUAUUUUUAAUAAAAAUAUUUCACUUACCUAGAGCCUAUUUUGACCCUAUUAAUUGAUUGCUGUGUUGAGGAAGAUGGCCGAAGGGUAGGGCUGUCGUCUUAUCGGCUCUUAACCAACCAUGCUAUUUUGUUUGUCUUUUCACGUUGUUCGUAACUUAUUUUGUACAUAAUGUUGCUGCUAAUGUCUCUUAUGACCGAAAGGAGCUUCUGGACAUCAGAACUGGGAUUACUCACCUCAAAUUGGAUGAGGAGUUCUUCAAUGAGUCGGACGCGAGGGAUAUACUACGGACACCCGACCAGGCCCAGAUCCCCGUGAUUCGCUGGAAAAGGAAACGCAGGUUUCGCAGAAAGAGAUCAGGAUGCCUUAGUCGUGGCUGAACGACGACAUUAAGAACAUACAGCUGGCGGGUUAAGCACUCUUUCGGCAGGACAGAACAGCAGCCUCUGGUUUUUUGGCCAUGGGCAAGGACUGGCGUACCUACUGCAUGGCAUUGGAGACCUACGUAUCUCCAGCAGCUGGGAGCACACACCACGCUCAGCAAGAACAAAUGCCUGGAACACAUUAUUACCACCAAACGCCCUUCUUCUCCAGCUGUUUAAUCCUAAUCUCUUCUCAAUGUUCUACCCUUUCCUUGUCAUUUUAUUGGUCAAAUCACCUCAAUGUGUUUGACUUGUGUCUGUUCUGGUGGGUCUUCACCAAUAAUCCCCUGUUGGAUUUAGAGUUACAACUUGCCAUUUCCUGUUGUAUUUCUUGUACUUCGUAACAUGGUAAACUUAGUAGCUAUUGAUAAUAACCCAAUAAUAAAGAUUCCACACAAUGUUUAAUAGAAAGGCAAAAACAGUUAAUUCACACUUGUUUUGUGAAGUUUAUCAGCAUAGGGUUAGCAACAUCCACAAGGUUAGCCACUUGCCCAUGGGCUACAUAUAGGCUACUAAAUAUGUUUACUUCGUGUUAGUCGCUUUGGAUAAAAGCGUCUACUACAUCAGCAUGUUAAUAUUAUCAUCUUUAAAAGGAAAAGUCACUAGCUUUAAAAAAUACCCUGAAAUAUCUGUAUAUUUGUAUAUUGCAAAAGAUACUGUAGAUGGCCAUCUGUUUGUGGUCUGUGGGAGUGUGCUGAAGUAAGUAAUUGGAAAAUCUGACUUUGUCAAAUGGAGAUACUGUCUGUACAGAAACAUA